UAGGGAAUCUUCGGCAAUGGGGGCAACCCUGACCGAGCAACGCCGCGUGAGUGAAGAAGGUUUUCGGAUCGUAAGGCUCUGUUGUAAGAGAAGAACGUGUGUGAGAGUGGAAAGUUCACACAGUGACGGUAACUUACCAGAAAGGGACGGCUAACUACGUGCCAA
rnacentral:rRNA from 1 species